rnacentral:rRNA from 1 species
GACGAACGCUGGCGGCGUGCUUAACACAUGCAAGUCGAACGGAAAGGCCCUUUCGGGGGUACUCGAGUGGCGAACGGGUGAGUAACACGUGGGUGAUCUGCCCUGCACUCUGGGAUAAGCCUGGGAAACUGGGUCUAAUACCGGAUAGGACCAUGGGAUGCAUGUUCUGUGGUGGAAAGCUUUUGCGGUGUGGGAUGGGCCCGCGGCCUAUCAGCUUGUUGGUGGGGUGAUGGCCUACCAAGGCGACGACGGGUAGCCGGCCUGAGAGGGUGUCCGGCCACACUGGGACUGAGAUACGGCCCAGACUCCUACGGGAGGCAGCAGUGGGGAAUAUUGCACAAUGGGCGCAAGCCUGAUGCAGCGACGCCGCGUGGGGGAUGACGGCCUUCGGGUUGUAAACCUCUUUCAGUAUCGGCGAAGCUCCCGGAUUUUUCUGGGGGUGACGGUAGGUACAGAAGAAGCACCGGCCAACUACGUGC